rnacentral:lncRNA from 1 species
CGCUCACUCCUUCUUCAGCUACGGUGAUCCCGUAAAAAUGAUGCCCGGCUCAGACUUCUAGAAAGAUAUUCAAGCGUUUCUAGCAGCGUUUCUCGUGCUUCAAGUGUAGUAACCCAGAAACCCAGAGAUAAAGGUCCAGAGGGAAGGAAGCACGAAACUCUCGACGUUUUCAGUACGCCCGAGGGAAGCCGUGU